rnacentral:lncRNA from 1 species
GACUGCACCUGUGGCAUAUGGAAGUUCCCCAAGCUAGGGGUCAAAUCAGAGCUAUAGUCACUGGCCUACGCCACAGCAAUGCUGGAUCUGAGCUAUGUCUGUGACCUACACCACAGCUCAUGGCAACACCAGAUCCUUAACCCAUUGAGGGAGGCCAGGGAUGUAGCCCACAACCUCAUGGAUAACAGUUGGGCUUGUAACCCACUGAACCACAAGGGGAACUCCCUGAUUUUUUUCAUAUUUGUUUUCUCAAUGGUAGAAUGAAAAGCAUAUGAAGUACCCUGCCUCUGAAAAACUACAUGGUCAUGCAAAUGGCAUCUAAAAAUGAACCUUGGUUUCCUUACCUUUGAGAUGCACCUGAUUAUACUUUGCCUUAUAACUUCAUUUAUUUCUUUUAAAAUGAGGUUUUAUACACGUGAAAGUGCUUCAUAAUCACUAAAUCUAACAAAAAUUCACUGAUUACUUUUACUGAAGUUUUUGCUUUUUUUCUUGAUUAUUCUUUUGAAUCUUAGUGGCAAGCAAAUGAAUACCUUUUUCCUUAAAAUAUUUAAAAUGGUAUUUGUGUUUAGAAUUGACAUGAAAGUUCACUGCAGGUAACAAAUUAAUUUGAAAAGUUAUAGACUUUUUUUUUUGCUUCUAUAACUUGAUGAUUCUGACUUGAUUGCCUUUUUUUAUCAGUGAGUUAAUCAUAUAAUUACAAAUGAGUAGAUUAUUUUAUGCAAGAAGAUUGUUCCAUAAAUUAGGUCACUGUCAUUUAUCAUUACCAUUUCUUUUCAAAACAUAUCAGAUCUCACAAUCUGCUAAUACUCGCUUCAGUGUAUAUCAUUUUAUUUCCCUCAAAUGAAUAUUAUGAAUAAUUGCAAAGACUUCAUCAAGAAAAAAAUAAAAAUUCAUUGUAAAGUAAAACCAUGAACAUCUACAAUAAUCAAAGCCAGAAUAAGAACAAGGGCAACAACAAAAUGUAAUGUUUUAAAGCUCCAAGAAAAUAGGGGAAAGGGCUUUUUUGGGGUCAUACCUCUUUUACAUGCUGGGACUUCAUGGGAUGAAGAAAUAAGACGUUUGAUUAGAGACUGUUUCUAUGCUAGUUCCUUUCCCCUCCCAACUCCAUCAAAUGGAUAAAUAAAUGUGACUGAUUACAGGUAGAAGCCUGAUGAUCAUAAAAGAUAAAUGCCAAUUCAGUGUAAAAUAUAAGACUGAAAUACAGAUGCAUUUAUUUAAGUUUUAGGAACCUCUGUCCAUAACCUUCUUUACCUAAAAAAAAAAAAGGUUAUGAGCUAGAAGAAAAUGAAUAUAACAAGCUCAUACUGUAACUAGAUAAGGACCAAUUGGUACUGUGUAAUUUCUAGGCUGAAACCAUGCCAGACUAUGUCCCUUCCCAAACAGAAUCUCUCCCUAAGGCCAGCACAGGCCAUAGAAGGACAGGUCUAUUGCAGCAGAAGGUGGCUGCACAGAGCCUGGGUGAAUACACAAGAUGCAGGCACAAAGUAAGGAACACUUAGCUUUCUCACAAUAAUUAACUUGGUACAGUGUUAGAGUUCAACGGGACCCUGGGAACAUCUGUGCAACCACCUCAUUUUGCAGAAAAGAACACAAGGCCAGGACAAGUAAAGAGACUUUUCCUGCUCAAACAGGUAAUAAAUAGCAGAGCCCAUAUGUAAACUUCUGGCUGCUGUUUUCACUUUGCUCUCUACACAACCUCUACAUGUCAAUGUUGGAUAGGUUUUCCUUUCUUUGUCUCUAUGAAUAUCACCUAAUAAUAUACCUGAUUUGCAGGCCUAAAAUUAAGAGUUUGACUAAUGAUACAUAAGACAUCUCAGCUAAGAAACAAUAAUAUGUCUUUCUCCUUAUAAACAUGUCUUAUGUAAAAGAGAGAUUUAAUUCUUGUCCAGAACUCCUGUUUGGGGCCCAUAAAGGAAGGAGAUAAAUUGGUUAAAAUUACAUAAGUAUCUUACAUGUAGAAUGGAUAAACAACAAGGUCUUACAACAUAACACAGGAAAAUAUAUUCAGUAUACUGUGAUAAACCAUAAUGGAACAGAAUAUGAAAAAAAAGGUCUAUGUAUAAUUGAAUCACUUGCUCAACAGUAGAAAUUAAUACAACAUUGUAUAUAAACUAUACUUUAAAAAAAUUAAUUUUUAAAAAACCCACAAGAGGAUGUAGCACAAUGUCGUGGUGACUCUAAAAAAUGCUUAACCAAUUUUUCCAUUAAUUUAAAGGACUGAUGAGAGCUGGGAAGACAUGUUACAGAUAUAAUAGAUUACAAUAAUUAGAAGGGACAAAGAAAUGGAACAUUUCUUCAUAACAAAAAACUCAGGAAAAUAUGUAGACUGAAGAAAACAUGAUGGCUCAAAAUAUUAUUUUUAAAUUAUGAUGAGUAUAUACAUUUAUAUGGUUAUAAUCAACUAAUUAUGACAAAAUUAACAUAAACAUAAAAAGAUAUUAGUAUAUUAUAUAUGACAUACAUAAAUACAUAUAAAUAUUUUGAUUAAAAAUACUGAUUUUAAUCUUCUGGGGUUAAUUUUAAAUAGAUACCCUAAAAUCAAAACUGGUUAAAUAUGCAAAAUACUUCAUUUCUGCUUAUUUUAAGUUAUAAUAAAAGUAAAACAUAUGAAGCUUGCUGGUGAUGCCCGAGAUUACAUAAUCCUACAAUCCUUGCCAUAAGGCUCAUGUUAGCUACUAUCUAUAUUAAUAAAAAUUAAAUUUGGACCAUAUCCCUAUCUGAAUAAUAAUAAACCUGGUUUCAAGGUCAUUCUUAUUUCCUUACUUAAGGAUAUUUCUUCUCUAUUCUCAUAAAUAAAACUGAUUAAUCAUGAAGGGAAAAACCAGAUCCUUUCUCUUACAUCUCCUCAUUCUUCUCUAACGUGAGGAAAAAAGGAACUGAGUGGCCUUCCCACGUUGGGAGGAAGAGUUUGCACCUUGGUGCCUCUCUACCCUUCCUCACCUGAUUCUCCCAAGAAAGAAAGUUCUCCACCUUGCUCUCUUUCUUUAACAAUGACAUGUGCUGGGCUCAGCUUGAUUCUAAGCAGAGAGGAUAGGCUACCACAGACAGACCCAGCUAGGUCUUUUCUUACUUUGCUCCAACAUCAGUGCCUGCAGCUGUUUUGGUUGAAUCAAGGCAGCCUCUUCCUGGGACAGAUUACCUUUAAUUCAAAGCUGGGGAAGGGAGGACUUUUGGUCCAGGUCAAACUCACUGGUUCCAUUUUUAGCAGAGAGCCUCUACAUUAGGAGGGCUAUUUGGCUGUUUAAUUCUCUUCAACAGGUAAGAACCGGGACAGGAGGCAGGACCUGACUGAUGAGACCUUCACACCUCCAAGGAGUCCUACCACCAAUUUACCAUGUUAACAUCUGCCAGCAAACUACUAUUCUAGUGUGCAUAUCAAGAAUCAAGAUGGGGAGUUCCCGUCGUGGCGCAUGGUUAAUGAACCCAACUAGUAUCCAUGAGGACAGGGGUUUGAUCCCGGGCCUUGCUCAGUGGUUUAAGCAUCCAGCCUUGCCAUGAGCUAUGGUGUAGGUCACAGAUAAGGCUUGGAUCCUGUGUUGCUGUGGCUCUGGUGUAGGCUGGCAGCUACAACUCUAAUUGGACCCCUAGCCUGGGAACCUCCAUAUGCUGCAGGUACGAUCCUAAAAAGACCAAAAAAAAAAAAAAA